rnacentral:rRNA from 1 species
GAUGAACGCUGGCGGCGUGCCUAAUACAUGCAAGUCGAGCGAACGGACGAGAAGCUUGCUUCUCUGAUGUUAGCGGCGGACGGGUGAGUAACACGUGGAUAACCUACCUAUAAGACUGGGAUAACUUCGGGAAACCGGAGCUAAUACCGGAUAAUAUUUUGAACCGCAUGGUUCAAAAGUGAAAGACGGUCUUGCUGUCACUUAUAGAUGGAUCCGCGCUGCAUUAGCUAGUUGGUAAGGUAACGGCUUACCACGGCAACGAUGCAUAGCCGACCUGAGAGGGUGAUAGGCGACACUGGAACUGAAACACGGUCCAGACUCCUACGAGAGGCAGCAGAAGGGAAUCUUCCGCAAGGGGCGAAAGCCUGACGGAGCAACGCCGCGUGAGUGAUGAAGGUCUUCGGAUCGUAAAACUCUGUUAUUAGGGAAGAACAUAUGUGUAAGUAACUGUGCACAUCUUGACGGUAACUAGUCAGAAAGCCACGGCUAACUACGUG